rnacentral:ncRNA from 1 species
UUGCAACUACUUGUAAUGCCUUCUGGCGAUACUUCUCAGCAACGCCCUCUGCGCCACGCUCUGGGCGAGAACCGCAAUUUCCUACAUCUGGAGCGCUACAUCCAUUGCAGACGACUUUGGCGCAACCAGGUAUUGUAAGUGUGAGAGUAGGCUUGUCCUACGAUCCACUAAGAUUCAGCCUGCGUUGUCCGAUGUGU